UCUACAACUCAUGCCCCCCUUAGCCUCACCUCACUUCCGCCCGCCUCACUGAAAACCAGGAAACAAACUUUUCAACUACAACAAGUGGACACUCACUCCUCGUUUGUCAGUCUGGAAAGGCCUAACCAGUGUCACCAAGCUACUUUUGACAACCUCUUAGUGAUAAUUAAAGGUAGUCCAUAAUGGCUGUUCUGUGGAUCUUUUUUUUUUUUGUGAAGAGGUAGCAGCUGCUCUGACAAGGGCCCAUCCUUUUUUGGGGCAAGUGGGAUCCAAAACAGGAUUUUGGGGAUGGAAACAGUCACUUAAAUAUAAAAUGCAAAACUACCGAACAAAGCUCGGAUGACUGGGACAUCCUGAAAUCCGUGUGAACUCCUUGAAACACAAACGAGAAGGCCAAGGCAAAGCUGCAGCCAAUAUCAAGAAACCUAGAAAGGCUGAAGUGAACUACAUCCUUCUCCACCCAAAAGAGGAAACCUCGGAGAGCCUGGAGAAUGAGAGAAAUGCCCUACUGUCAGAACUCAAAAAGCAUGACAAUGAAGUGGUAAUAAAUGCAAAACUGGAAAAAACCUUUUCCCACAGACGACUAGAGAUUGUGGAGCAGAGACCCAUGAUAGAGGACUUCAAAAACAGAUGGCCUGCCCUGUUUCAGGAGAAUGAAGUGAAUGCAGAGUUCUUAAGGAUCACAACCAAACCACUGGUGUCGAAGUUUUUGUCACAACUGGACCACUUCUCCGACAAGUUAAUACAAAUCUUCAAGAACAAAGGAGGAGUGAAGGGUCAAAAGAUCAGGGAUGUCCUGGCAAUCGACAAUUCGUGUGACAUCUACAUCAGGAGAGAGUGUAUCCUGAAAUCCCUCUCCACCCAAUGAAGAUCCGGACACUUUCCUCAAGGAAUAUCUUGCCUCUGCCAUUGAGGAGUCAUGGGAUCUAUGUCAGCCGCAGACCUGGGGAUGAGGAGCCAGAGGACGUGGGAGUUGUGAUCGAAGGCAUCAAAGUUCUCACCAACAUCAGCAGUGUCAUCAUUGCUUUCAUCAUGCUGUUUGGGCUCAUUUAUGCCCUUGAUCUAAGCUUUCCAGACAACCUCAAGUACACUUUCAAGUUCUCCCAAAAGAUCAUAAUGAACUUGGAUGGGCACAAGCUGAAUGCAAAAAUACAGCAGCUGAAAAUCAAGCUGUUUGCGUAAGUGCUGGACAUCAGGUGAGAGUUUGGUUGGUUGACCAAUUGCCCUCAUGACAUUGUUCAUUACACAUUGUCCUCCACGUUUUUCUUCGCAUCCAGUCAAAGACAGUUGGCAUCUUGUGGCUGCUUCCUUUUCUAAUGUUGCGAUAGUUGAGAACAGACUGCUGCACAGAGACAAACUCGGAGCUGCAGUCAACUGAAAUUUAAAAUAUUGCAAGCUUCUGUUUGAAUGUACCAAUGAAAAUUACAUGAUAUGCUGCCUUGGGGAGUGCAAUGACUGCAUUGACAGUUUAAAACUAGCAUUACAUGGGUUUGAUGCACUUGAACACUUUGCCCACUUCACCUUCACAUCCUAACCCCCGAAGUGUUACUUUACCGUCCUCCCUGUUUCUGAAAUUCAUCUCAAGUUACCAUCACAUCCAUUUUCUCCUUCCUGUCUACACUACCCACUACUUCAUUUCAUGAUGGUGUACUAAUGAAGGUGUAGAGAAGUCUUUUGUACAGUAAGUGCUUUAAGGUUUUUCUUACUUUGUAUGUUCAACAUUUCUGUCGCUUUUGUUACCAUUGCUUCGCGGCAACGUUAUGCCACAAGGUUACCUUAUCAGGUGUUUGAAACUGUGGUCUUGAGUGGUAGCAUUAUAGUAUUCCUUGCAUUUUUUCACAGUAUGUGUAAAUAUACUCUUCAGUUUAAAAGAGUAAUUGCAAAACUGUAUCCUUUGUUUUACUGACAGUCUGUAGGGAAAGGAAAUGC